rnacentral:rRNA from 1 species
CCUAGUAACGGCGAGUGAAGCGGCAACAGCUCAAAUUUGAAAUCUGGCUCUUUUAGAGUCCGAGUUGUAAUUUGCAGAGGGCGCUUUGGCUUUGGCAGCGGUCCAAGUUCCUUGGAACAGGACGUCACAGAGGGUGAGAAUCCCGUACGUGGUCGCUGGCUAUUGCCGUGUAAAGCCCCUUCGACGAGUCGAGUUGUUUGGGAAUGCAGCUCUAAAUGGGAGGUACAUUUCUUCUAAAGCUAAAUAUUGGCCAGAGACCGAUAGCGCACAAGUAGAGUGAUCGAAAGAUGAAAAGCACUUUGGAAAGAGAGUCAAACAGCACGUGAAAUUGUUGAAAGGGAAGCGCUUGCAGCCAGACUUGCUUACAGUUGCUCAUCCGGGUUUCUACCCGGUGCACUCUUCUGUAGGCAGGCCAGCAUCAGUUUGGGCGGUAGGAUAAAGGUCUCUGUCACGUACCUCCUUUCGGGGAGGCCUUAUAGGGGAGACGACAUACUACCAGCCUGGACUGAGGUCCGCGCAUCUGCUAGGAUGCUGGCGUAAUGGCUGUAAGCGGCCCGUCUUGAAACACGGACCAAGGAGUCUAACAUCUAUGCGAGUGUUUGGGUGUCAAGCCCGAGCGCGUAAUGAAAGUGAACGGAGGUGGGAACCCGCAAGGGUGCACCAUCGACCGAUCCUGAUGUCUUCGGAAGGAUUUGAGUAAGAGCAUGGCUGUUGGGACCCGAAAGAUGGUGAACUAUGCUUGAAUAGGGUGAAGCCAGAGGAAACUCUGGUGGAGGCUCGCAGCGGUUCUGACGUGCAAAUCGAUCGUCAAAUUUGGGCAUAGGGGCGAAAGACUAAUCGAACU